rnacentral:tRNA from 1 species
GUCGGGAUAGCUCAGUUGGUAAGCAGAG